ACAGCGGAGGGAUCAUUACCGAGUUUUACAACUCCCAAACCCCUGUGAACAUACCACUUGUUGCCUCGGCGGAUCAGCCCGCUCCCGGUAAAACGGGACGGCCCGCCAGAGGACCCCUAAACUCUGUUUCUAUAUGUAACUUCUGAGUAAAACCAUAAAUAAAUCAAAACUUUCAACAACGGAUCUCUUGGUUCUGGCAUCGAUGAAGAACGCAGCAAAAUGCGAUAAGUAAUGUGAAUUGCAGAAUUCAGUGAAUCAUCGAAUCUUUGAACGCACAUUGCGCCCGCCAGUAUUCUGGCGGGCAUGCCUGUUCGAGCGUCAUUUCAACCCUCAAGCACAGCUUGGUGUUGGGACUCGCGUUAAUUCGCGUUCCCCAAAUUGAUUGGCGGUCACGUCGAGCUUCCAUAGCGUAGUAGUAAAACCCUCGUUACUGGUAAUCGUCGCGGCCACGCCGUUAAACCCCAACUUCUGAAUGUUGACCUCGGAUCAGGUAGGAAUACCCGCUGAACUUAAGCAUAUCAAUAAGCGGAGGAA
rnacentral:rRNA from 1 species